UACAGAGACUGCAAGCGUUAUUCGGAUUCACUGGGCGUAAAGGGUGCGCAGGCGGCCGGGUGUGUGAGGCGUGAAAGCCCGAUGCUUAACAUCGGAAUUGCACCUCAAACUACACGGCUAGAGCAUUGGAGAGGGUAGCGGAAUUCCCCAAGUAGAGGUGAAAUUCGUAGAUAUGGGGAGGAACACCGGUGGCGAAGGCGGGUCUCUGGGCCGAUACUGACGCUGAGGAGCGAAAGCGUGGGGAGCAAACAGG
rnacentral:rRNA from 1 species